rnacentral:misc_RNA from 1 species
AUAUAUAAUCAAAUUUUAGUUUAGUGCUGAAAUUUGGAUCAUGUCAAAGAAGCUAUUACUAUUAUUGUGAUAUCCCUUUGGAAAUCAAUAGGUCUUCAAGUUGCUAUUCAUGGAACGUGAUGAGAAUUACUUCGUUCUAUUUUAGUGGCUUGUAUAGUCCUGAAACUUGUAUGCUUUUGGCAUUUCUUAUU